UACGUAGGCGGCAAGCGUUAUCCGGAAUUAUUGGGCGUAAAGCGCGCGCAGGUGGUUUCUUAAGUCUGAUGUGAAAGCCCACGGCUCAACCGUGGAGGGUCAUUGGAAACUGGGAGACUUGAGUGCAGAAGAGGAAAGUGGAAUUCCAUGUGUAGCGGUGAAAUGCGUAGAGAUAUGGAGGAACACCAGUGGCGAAGGCGACUUUCUGGUCUGUAACUGACACUGAGGCGCGAAAGCGUGGGGAGCAAACAGG
rnacentral:rRNA from 1 species